CCUAAGGUAGCGAAAUUCCUUGUCGGGUAAGUUCCGACCUGCACGAAUGGCGUAAUGAUGGCCAGGCUGUCUCCACCCGAGACUCAGUGAAAUUGAACUCGCUGUGAAGAUGCAGUGUACCCGCGGCAAGACGGAAAGACCCCGUGAACCUUUACUAUAGCUUGACACUGAACAUUGAGCCUUGAUGUGUAGGAUAGGUGGGAGGCUUGGAAGUGUGGACGCCAGUCUGCAUGGAGCCGACCUUGAAAUACCACCCUUUAAUGUUUGAUGUUCUAACGUUGACCCGUAAUCCGGGUUGCGGACAGUGUCUGGUGGGUAGUUUGACUGGGGCGGUCUCCUCCUAAAGAGUAACGGAGGAGCACGAAGGUUGGCUAAUCCUGGUCGGACAUCAGGAGGUUAGUGCAAUGGCAUAAGCCAGCUUGACUGCGAGCGUGACGGCGCGAGCAGGUGCGAAAGCAGGUCAUAGUGAUCCGGUGGUUCUGAAUGGAAGGGCCAUCGCUCAACGGAUAAAAGGUACUCCGGGGAUAACAGGCUGAUACCGCCCAAGAGUUCAUAUCGACGGCGGUGUUUGGCACCUCGAUGUCGGCUCAUCACAUCCUGGGGCUGAAGUAGGUCCCAAGGGUAUGGCUGUUCGCCAUUUAAAGUGGUACGCGAGCUGGGUUUAGAACGUCGUGAGACAGUUCGGUCCCUAUCUGCCGUGGGCGCUGGAGAACUGAGGGGGGCUGCUCCUAGUACGAGAGGACCGGAGUGGACGCAUCACUGGUGUUCGGGUUGUCAUGCCAAUGGCACUGCCCGGUAGCUAAAUGCGGAAGAGAUAAGUGCUGAAAGCAUCUAAGCACGAAACUUGCCCCGAGAUGAGUUCUCCCUGACCCUUUAAGGGUCCUGAAGGAACGUUGAAGACGACGACGUUGAUAGGCCGGGUGUGUAAGCGCAGCGAUGCGUUGAGCUAACCGGUACUAAUGAACCGUGAGGCUUAACCUU
rnacentral:rRNA from 1 species